GAUGAACGCUAGCUACAGGCUUAACACAUGCAAGUCGAGGGGCAGCAUGAACUUAGCUUGCUAAGUUUGAUGGCGACCGGCGCACGGGUGAGUAACACGUAUCCAACCUGCCGAUGACUCGGGGAUAGCCUUUCGAAAGAAAGAUUAAUACCCGAUGGCAUAGUUCUUCCGCAUGGUAGAACUAUUAAAGAAUUUCGGUCAUCGAUGGGGAUGCGUUCCAUUAGGUUGUUGGCGGGGUAACGGCCCACCAAGCCUUCGAUGGAUAGGGGUUCUGAGAGGAAGGUCCCCCACAUUGGAACUGGGACACUGUCCAAACUCCUACGGGAGGCAGCAGUGAGGAAUAUUGGUCAAUGGACGAGAGUCUGAACCAGCCAAGUAGCGUGAAGGAUGACUGCCCUAUGGGUUGUAAACUUCUUUUAUACGGGAAUAAAGUGAGGCACGUGUGCCUUUUUGUAUGUACCGUAUGAAUAAGGAUCGGCUAACUCCGUG
rnacentral:rRNA from 1 species